ensembl:snoRNA
UGGUCAUUACCAAAACUUUUAGAAUGCAAUUUCUCAUCUGCCGUGGACAUGACCAUAAAAUAAUUUCCCACUAACUAUUUUAUCUGCUACCUUGCUAGCAAACAGUCUAUUGGGACCAUUU